GGGUAUAGCUCAGUUGGUAGAGCAUCGGUCUCCAAAACCGAAUGUCGUGAGUUCGAAUCUUACUGCCC
rnacentral:tRNA from 1 species